AUAUUCGCCUUUAUUAAUUUUCUAGGAAUAAUUAGCAGCCUGUAGGGGAUUACAUUUCUCUACCAGAAACCACAAUUUCCUGAUAAUGAAUGUAAAGUCAUUGAAAAUGUAAGCUCACCUUGUGUUUCCAAACAAUACUGGAAGUUUCAAUGAGUUAUGUAAUUCUCAGUCAGGGAGAGGGGAGCAGUGAAUGGACUCUUUCACU